UACCUGUUACAUGGGGUCCGAAACUCAG
rnacentral:sRNA from 1 species